CUAAUACCGGAUAAGAAAGACGGAUCGCAUGAUCAGCUUUUAAAAGGCGGCGUAAGCUGUCGCUAUGGGAUGGCCCGCGGUGCAUUAGCUAGUUGGUAAGGUAAAGGCUUACCAAGGCGAUGAUGCAUAGCCGAGUUGAGAGACUGAUCGGCCACAUUGGGACUGAGACACGGCCCAAACUCCUACGGGAGGCAGCAGCA
rnacentral:rRNA from 1 species